ensembl:lncRNA
AUGUGUAUGUGUCUGUUCAGAGGAUUCAGAAGUGGAUUCAGUUUAGUGUUCAAAAGAUCAAAAGACUCAUGCGGAAGUUUUACCAUGUUCAAAUGCUUGAAUCUUCUUCUGCUGCUGCUGUUUUGUUUUGUCUAUCAAAGGGAUGAGAUUUCUGUGAAAACAGGCGAGGAGCUAAAGAUGUCUGUUCUGUUGUCUAAUGCUGAUAAAGUGAAGACAAACUCUAGUGGAGAGUGGAAGGAGGUUUGGAAGAGAGGCCACGGGGUCUGGAGUGACCGAAUGAUUGAUGAUAAUGAUGGGAACCUGAUCAUUAAAGCAUUUCUGGACAGUGAUGCAGGAACAUACAGAGUUCUGGACUCUGAAGGAGAAAUCUUGAUCACAGUCACAGUCACAGGUGAGCAGGUGUUUAGAAAUAUUUCGAAUACAUCAUGAGCUUGGGAUUUGUUCUUUUAAACUGAAUCUGUAUGACUAAUGUUUUCAAAUCUUGUUUAUAUUUUUUCAUAUCUGCCUGGCUCAGCGGGAGAAAACACAGGUGAGACAGAAGAACAGUAAAGUAAGAAGCUCUAAAAAAACAUGAACAAUACUUUUAAAAAUAUAAAAUAUANUAUAGUGAAAAGUGCUAUUCAAAUAAACUUGACUUGAAUAUAUUUAUAGAACA